ensembl:lncRNA
CAACAGUGUAUGAGGAUGUAUGUUGGUGCUGACUGUUCAGGCUUGGUUUCCCGGGCUCUGUGUGUCUUUAGUCUUCUCUAUGUGUUCCUGAACUACAGUUCUGAGUUCUUGUUCUUCUUUUUGUUUCUGAAGAUUCCAAAUACAUACACAUGUACACACAAGAACAUACACCACACAUACCACACGCAUGUACACCGGGACUGCCGUGUAACCCCGUGAAAGUCGUUAGAAUAAAAAAAGAAUUAAAAAAUAUUCUAACAGACAACAAAAACAUAGAAAUACAUGACUGAAAAGCAGAUGAAAAUUGUAUCCUAACAUUUCAAAAUGAAUUAAAAGUAAUUAGGUGGUAACCAAGCUUUGACACAAGAGUACAAGUCAGAAAUGGAGGAGCUGGAAGCAGUGCUGUUAAACGUGAAGCAGCCGACAGAAAUUAGGAAACACUGCAAGAAAUGAAAGCAAUUUCAGAAAUAACAACGAGAAAGAAUCUAAGAAUAAGGCCCCCCUGACCUGCAGCUUCUUCUGGCCCAGACCCACGCCCUGCUCUGCUCGGUCCAGGUGGGUCUCCCGGUUUCACGGGCCUCCUGCAUCUGUGUACGCAGGUCCAGUCCUGGUGUCUGCUCCUUUCGGGAUCUCUCCCUCCCUAGGCACGUGCUUUCGAUGGCACGCGGGGCAGCAGCGACAGGGCCUUCUUGCAGGCAGACCCCGCGUGCUCUCCAUGCAAUCAGGACCCAGGACGUGGGCAAAGAACUUCCCAAGGGAAUCAGAAUGGGGUGCAAAUGAGAAGUCUGUGUUCAUAGACUGAUAGCAACUGAAAUGUGCGACAGGACUAAAACCGUCUGGUGAAAAUGCUGAAAGGAGGGGGUCCCUGCUGCAUCCCACUGUCAUGGCUGGAAGCAGCCCAUCCUGGCCUGGGAAGGUCCAGGUAUGAUGGAGGUGUGAGCCGCCAGCUUCCAGGAUAAGCACCAGACUGCGGUGUAGACCGUCAGGGGAUGGAUACGAAGAGGUUUGCCACACGGCCAAGGCAGAGUUCUGAGGCAGACCCUCGGCUCAGAGCUAAACCUGUGCAAAUACUGUCUGUUCUCCAGAUCCCUCCCUCGCCCACGGCCCCGUCCUGUGCUGCUGCAUCUCAGAGGGAAACGUGAGCCGCCAAGGCCAGUGCUGAUGACAGCAGCCGGAAACACCUGUCGGGAUUUCCUCCCUCUCAUCAGAAUCCUGGGAGACGCAUCCCAGUCCACCUGCCUCCCACUUGCGGAAGGACCUCUCACAGCUCAGGGCUCUCCCAGCGCCUGGCACCACAGCCACAUGGCUCCGAGCCUGGCCGCUCAGGCCCUGCAUUCGCCUGUCUGUGGGCUUCAGCAGGGGCACGGCCCUCUUGUCCACAUAUCAAAGGCAUCAAACAAGUGAACGUGGUGGCCAGGGUGCCUGACCCGCGGUGCUCGGCGGUACACACAGGUCGGUCACGGAGCCGGGUCUGCAGAGAGACAGGAGGUCCUGUCCCCUUGUGCCUCUGCCAGGAGAGGGACGUGUGGCAGCUGAGCCUGGACCCUGUUCCCUGACGGCUCAGCCAAGCUCCCACGCAGAUCGUUCCUCCCAGAUAGCCUGCUGGGACCCAGGACUGCAGCCCGAGCUCAGAGCUUCAGCCGGCGCCCUUCCUGCCAGGGUUGCCGCAGGCCCCGCACCUGCUCCUCCUCGGCCUUGAGGUCCUGCAGCCAGCUCUCUGCGGCUGUGACAGCCAUGACAUCCCUGGUGCCGGAGACGCACAUUUGGACGCUGUGAUGCUGGCUGGCGUGGUUGCGACUCCAGGCUGCCCAUCCCUUUUCUGCUAAUUCAUCUUAUUGCACUUUGCAAAAGCAUUGGGAGGCGCGGAGGGGAAGCCCAGCAGGCGGAGGGUCGAGAAGGUUCUGGAGACCAGGUGGACUGGCUGGGACUCAGGGGUAGCAGGGGCACCUGGGGCCCCAGGGCGUUGGUCACGUUUGCGCCCAGCUGGAGGGCCAGGCAGCCGAGGGGCACUGGCUGCUGCCUGAGUUCUGGGCCGACAGGGAGGGAGUUUCUCUAAACGGCCCCACAACACUCCAGCCCCGGGCUGCUCGGCCUGUGGGUCUUGCUCCAUCGUGCCUGGAACCCACAGCCCCGACAAGGACCACAGCCCCCACAAGUGGCUGGACCCUGCUGGUCCGGCUGCUCCCUCGCUGUGGCCUGGGCCCCCCAGGACACGCACCUCCUGCCAGGGUGCAGGGAGGGGCUGUGGCUCUACCAGCUCUCUGCAACAGGGAGGGCUGAUCCCCCACUGGCCCGAGGCCUCCAGGGCCACCUGCGGUGCACUCACAGGGCGCUUGACAGGAGGCCCGGGGCCCAGGACACUCCUGCGCUCACAGUGGGCACCUGCGUGGGGACAUCUGCCUGGGCCCCUCGGGUCAUGCAGAUGCCCCAGCCCUGCCUGAGCAGGGUCAGUGCUGCCAGGAGCCAGGAAGGCCAGUGGACACAGCAGCUCACUGUCCACUAUGGGGCUGGGUGUCACUGAGUGCUGGGCGCUGACCGCCACCCAGGAGAGGCUGGCAUGUGCAGAUUCUGAGUCACUAGGCCUGGCCAAGGCCACAGAGGGCUCUGGUGUGAGGACGGCAUGGCUGCGCCCAGGGCCUGGGCUGACACUGGGCGCUGCCUCUUCCCGCCUUAGUGACCUCGGCAAGCCCUUCAUCCCUGUGUGCCUCAGUUUCCCCAUCUAGGAGUGCAGUGGCAGAUCCGGCUCAAAGUGCUAUCGUGGAGUUGAGUUACUUAACAGGUCAGGAAGCUGAGCGUACCCAGCACCCCUGGGCCCACGUGGGCUGGGGGCUUUCCCUGUCAUAGGCCUGGGACCCAGCCCUGGCAAGCACAGCCCCCAAGCGCCCCACUUUCUCACAUAGAGGUGGUGGGUGGUAGCUUUCACUGGAUCUGCCUCCUGCCCCUGAGGUCUUUCAUUUGACGGAUGAGGACAUUGAGAGCCAGGCAGGCGGGGCUGGGCCUGAACCCCGUGUCUCCAGCCCUGACCCUACACUCUCUGUUGGGCGGCUCUGUGGAUGCCGAGUGGUACCAGCCCUGCCGGAUGGCGACCUCCCUCCCCAGGGGUGGUGCCCUGUUCACGCUGCUUCUGUCCUGGAGCUUGGGUGCUCCAAGACCAGGGUGUCCCAGGGCCAUGCUCUCUCUGAGGCUCUGGGGGAGGGUCCUUCCUGCCUCUUCCAGCUCCUGGGGCUCCAGGCAUCUCUGGGCCGCAUCUCCCCAACCUCUGUCUUGGUCUUCACGUGGCCUCCCCUGCGUGUCUCAUAUGGACACCUGUCAUGGGAUUUGAGGCCCCUUGGAAAUCCAUGAUGGUCUUAUCUCCAGGUCCUUAACUUAACCACAUCCACAGACACCCCCUUCCAAACGAGGUCCCACACGCAUGUAGUGGGGUUUGGACAGGGACACAUCUUUGGGGCCACCCUUCAGCCCACCACAGACACUGAGCAGCUUCCCUGGCCCCUCCCACCCUACUGACUGUCAAAAUUGUCCCUGGAUGCUGCAGAUGUCCCCGGCCCAGAACUGGGCUCAGAGCCGGUUCAAGGGGCCUUUGCCCCACCCUCUCUCCCUGGACUCUGGACUCAAGGAUCCUCAGUGGAUCUGGGGGAUUGACAGAGUCUUAGGCCUGCUUGGAGUUUGUUAAUCUCGAAGGCCCCACACCCCGAGGCUGCCCCCCUUUCACUUCGUCUUAAUGGGAGCGGCUGCCUGAGCAGUGGCAUCCGUGCUCACGGGGUGCUGCUGCUGCGGGCUGGGGCUCCUGGGCACUGCGGUGGGAGUGGAGCUCCUGAGCCAAAUCUCAGGGAUGAGCUCUGGUGGGACGCCCCGAGUCCCCGUCAGCCAGCUGUUCUCGGACCCUGAAGGAGGCUGGACAAGGGGAGCUGGCGGCACAGCCUGGCAUGAAGCAGGCCCUCGACACCCAGGACAGGAUGUGCUGCGUCCUGGGCAUGGCCUGAGGGCUGGACAUGGGGCCACGGCCGUCAUGUUUGGUGUGGGCUCUGGCCCCGCACAGAGCAGAGCGGCUCACCCUGCUCCAGGCCGCAUGAGAACCUGGCAGCCAACCCUGGCCAUCAUGCCCAAACCGGCUGAGUUUCCAUGACCCCAGACUGCCCGGUCUGAGCUGGAACCUGCAGGGCUGAGGGGCAGACGCAGGCCUGGGUGACCCCCAGCACCAUCGGGGGCUACGGGGCCCCGUCUGUCUUGGCUUUACUUGUCAUCAGAGAACAAGUCAGAGUGGUCGUGCCUUCUAGCACCUUCCGGGGCCAACCACUUAGUCCGUCUCAGAACAUCAGGAAUAUCGAAAUUCAGCCUGGAGAUGGAAACACCUGGAAAGUGAACCAGUGGUCCUCCCGUCAGCCCCUGGGUCCCUGGUGCCUGGCGACCCGUAUUGAUCACCUGGAGCUGGCCCUGAGCAGUGGGACUCCCGAUGGGCUGAACCCGCCUUCCCUGCUGCACACGGUGAGGGGCAGCGGGACGAGGAAGGAGCCGGUCGGGAAGGCACCCGUCAGAGCCGUGGCCUCACACCUGGAGCCGGUGUAGGAGCCGUGCGGACAGCGCUCCGGGACCCCGCGCCUGGGCUGCCUGGAGGAAACGGCUCCCGCUGCGCGGAGGUUCAUCUCCGGCUUAACUGAAGGGCACUGGGAGCAGCCGAGCACGCGCCCAGGAGACAGAUGCCAGCCCUGCAGCGGCUCGAGACCCAGGAAAACUAAGCUGACACCGACCAGGCUGAACCUCCGAAGCGGAUGGGAGGGGUGGCUCCUGGGGCCCCGGGAGCACUGUGACCGUGCUUUUGGAGGCCCCUCUAGCCUUCGAUUUUCUUGCUGUUCCAGCAGCCCACAGCCUGGGGGCAAAGGGCCAAAUUUCCUUAUUUUUGCCAAAUUCUCUUGUCUGCCCUGACCCGUGCUCAACACCCUGGCCUGUCUCCUCCCUCUCGGGUUCAUUGGGAGGAACAGCGGGUCUCGUGUUCCUGCAGGAGCCCCGGCCUCAGGAUGAGCAUGUGCUUGCAUUCUUUGUACUUUGUGCCAUGAGUGAAAACAUUGGCUUUUCUGGCGAAGUUUCUUUAGUGCAGGCAGCGUUCUCGGGUCAUGAAAGCAAGUCCUUUCCUUCCACGGUCCGCCCUGGAGAUUCUUCUAUCUCUUUGCCUCAUUUUAGCUUUUUCUGUUGAUCCCUCAGCCGAGAAGAAAGAACUAGAGUUUGCUCUCAGAGGAAGGCAAGCAAGAGGGUGGGAAACGGCAGCUCGCUCCAGGUCAGGGCUGGCACCGCAGUGUGCCUGGCAGGGCACCCUGGGGACACCCGUGGAGGGGAGCGGCCAGGCCACGUUCCGUCCGCCGUGUGAGCAGCAGCAUUGGGGGGAGAGGCCCAGUCUGGGGCCCGGCCCAAGCUCUCCGUCUGUGGGACCAUCGGUGUGGCUCCUCCUGUGCGUCCAAACGCCCCACCUGAUGCUGCUUUCUGAAGACGACCUGAGGUGACACCACGUAUACUUGAGGGUGGAUGUCCAGCAUGAGGACACACCAUCCUUUGAGAGGACCAGGCACACACGAGGGUGGAUGUCCAGCGGGAUGAUGCCCAGUCCUCCUUAUGGCCCUGAGGGGUCAGCUUUUGGCCCAGCGCUGUCCCCGUCUGGCACACUGAGGCCAGGUGCCAAUUUGGAAGAGGCCGUGUCCAGUCCUACAGGCCAUCAGCACUGGCUGGGACCCACGACUGUUAGCGUGGAUGGCAGCAAGGCGGCCUCGUGGGUUUACAGCCUCCGCAGCUGGGCCCUAUCAGGGCGCACGUCCCACUGGACUCAGCUGCUCAGAAGAGCCAGCACGUUGCUGGGAAUGCAGCGCCUUCGACGUCUGGCACAGCGCCUCCCUCUGAAGUCCGGCCAGCCGGCGAUAAACCAUGGAGUGACCUCCCUGGCUGACCCAGCUGGACCUCCACACAGACCACAGAAGGACCAGCUGCCAGAUGGUUUUCUCUGUCUUGGGGCCUGCAGCUUUGUCGUCACACAGACAGCCUGUAACAACAUUGAAAUGAAGCAGAGGAUGCUGUCACAGGAGGCGCUGCUGACAGCCUGACGUUUCCGGGGCGACGGCCCUGUGUGCAGCCGCGUGGCGUUCCACCCCCUGGGUGAAACCAAGACCCGUGAGCCCGCAGAGAGCUCCCCUGGGGCUUGGGGGUGACAGACGCCCUUGGGGACAGCCUCUGCCCCACAACAGACCAUCUCACUGCAGACCACGCCUCACAGGUCCGGGGCCCAGCCGGCUUCCCAGCAGUUGGGCAGUUUUGAUGAAGGAAAGUGUCAGCCUGACUCUCAGCAAAGAACGCAUCUUUCCUUGCGUCUCACGAUACUCUGGGGCCAGAAGUCUGACAUCAAGGUGUCACAGGGCCUCGCCGUCUCCGGGGCCCCCAGGGGAGGGUCCCUCCUGCCCCCUCCGUGUGUGUCUGUGGGCCUGUCGCAUAAGGACGCUGUCACUGGAUUUACAGCCGGCCUGUGUAAUCCAGGAAGCUCCCAUCCGAAGACCCUUAACUGGAUCACAUCUGAAAGACUUCCCAGCCUGCUCUCAUUCACAGCUUCCAGGUGAGGCAGUGACACGCCCUUCGUGGCUGCCUUCAGCCCACCUCGGCCCUCCGCCCCCAGCCCCUCGCCUCACGAGAAGUCGAGUCCCGUCCUGGCACACACCCUCCGGGCCCCAGACCAGCCUCCUGGAGGCGGCGUCACUUCCAGAGUUUGUCCACAUCUGUGGGACCUUCCACGUCCCAGAAUCCCUCAGGGUUUGUUCCGGAACUUCAGCUGUGCGAGAGGAAAACCCCAGGUCCCGCAUGCCGGAGGGAAUCCCUGGGGUGGCGCUGAGUCCGGCACACGGCCCACCUGGCCCUCGGGUCGGCGUCUCUGCCCAGGGCCUCCCCUGGCCCGUGUCCAGCCUGCAGACCCUCCCACAGCAGGUCCGAGCAGAGGAUGUGCGGGCCGGAGGAACUCGUGGGUGUGCGGGCUCCUCGCUUCUCCUCCGGGGCCCUGAGUCCUUCAGUCACAUCAGAAUUGCUUUCUUCCCGGCCCCGGGUGACUUGUCCUUCUGCCAGGAGCCUGGACUCCUUCCUCCUCCUCCGAUCCUCCUGGAAGCCUCUCUGGACACGGUUUCCCCCUGUUUUCUCCUACAGCCCAUGACAAUCCCACAUGCGCUGCGUGGGUCCCAACAAUCGCGUUCGUGGUCAGGGCCCAGGACGUGGCCCCCACCGCCUUCAUGGGGAGAGCGUCCUCCCCACCUGCUUCCUUCCACAAGACUUCGUCUGCGCUGUGCUCCCAGGUACAACCCUCGUCCCACGGCCUGGCCCCGCGUCUCCCCCACCCCACGCAGCCGACACUGACCUGAUCCUCACCUGUCCUGUCCCACGUCCAGCCCCAUCCUCACCCCUAACACAUGUGAAACGCCAGCUGGGGAGGGUGGCGGAGCGAGAGAGGAGGUGCCCGUUCUGGGUCUGCACACGCAGGAUGGGGACGCCACCACGAGGAAAGGCCGUGAGGACGACAGGAAGUCAGCACCACCGAAGGUCCUGUUCCUCGUUUCAUUUCGUCCACAACUUGGAUGAAGACCCAGAAUCAUGCUGACCAAACAUGCAAAGGACACGAAGCAGGAGAGUGAGUAUACUGGGUGCUGAAGUCCAGAUCCAAAACGACUUCACCGCCAGGAGAAAAGGCCCCGAGUUAACAAGACAGAACCCAACAGGGAGAAGUCAGCCGUCAUGCAUUCCGGCUCACUCAGUCCUCAAGUAGAGGAGCAGGAAGGCCUAGCUUGACAGUGUUGUGAAAAAGAUCUGAUGGAGUUAGUGGGCCACAAGCUCACCAAGAGACAGCUGUGUGACUCGGCUGCUUAAGAGCCUUGAUGCAUCCCUGAGCAGCCUGGAGAGCAAGGGACCCUCAGAUCAACAAAGGAGAUACCCCCACCUCUCGUGGUCCACACUGGUCAGCGUCUCUGGCCGGACCCUGGGGUGACAGCAGGCAAUGCUGCUGGAGUGGUGCCAUGGCAGGAGUGCAAAUUUCACGAGUUGGAUGGUGUGACCCUUGCUGCACAAGGUGGGCCUUCCCCCUGGAGGGGCAGGAGGCGGGCCCAGCGUUGGCUCCAGACCCCGUGCUCCGAAUCCCUGCUCCACGGCCCCUCUCGGGGUGCUGCAGGGCAAGGCGAGGUCUUGGUGUCUUCAGAGGGCUGGGAACGUGUCGUGUGCUCUCGGCAGAAGCCCUGGUGACGAGCAUCGGCACAGCGGACGUGGACGCCGGGACUGUGGGCGUCUAGCUCCUGGAGGAGAUGUGACCCAAUAGGGCAGAGCAGGCUCGUCUGCAUCGGUCGGUACUUGCCUCUGUUUCACCGACACCUCGUCGAGCGUGACGGAUGGCGAUGUCUUCAUCCUUCUCCUGCCGGUGAAACCCCCACCCUGACUUGCGGUUGGAGCAAGGAUGCUCUACGCUUGUUGAGGCAAAUAUCCCAGGAGCCCUCGUCCCGGCGGCGUGCGGGGCCCUGGCGUCUGGGAGUCUGACGCCACCACGCUGUGGCGGUUUUCUGACGCGGUUGAGUGGUUUCCUCCUCGCCUGCUGAGGACGAGAGCUCUCCCAGCGCUGUGUUCUCCACAGCACUUGCCUGACUUUUUAAUUUUUGCGAGAACGGUUGGUGUGAAGUGAUAACAUCCAAGUAUGGUUUUAAUUUCCACGUAGCUGAUUAUCAACGAGGUGGAACAUCCUGUGCUGACUGGGGCGUUUCCGUUUUUCUUAUUGAACGGUGGGGCUCUUUACGUGUUCUCAAUACUGGUACUUCGUUACAAACCUUACAGACAUCUUUUCCCACCUCGUGGCUUGACCCUUGACUCUCCAUGAUGAACAGAUGUUCUGCGGGUUAAUGCAGGUGAAGAUGUCAGUCUUUUCUUUGAAGGUCUGUGUUUUCUGAGUUGUUUAACAAAUUCCUCCAGACCUUAAGGCCCUGAGUACAUUCUCCUGCACAAUCUUCUAAUUUGUUUUAACGUUACGGCUCUAACGAGCUGGGGUUUAUCUUUACAUGUGGUGUGAGCUAGAAGCUCAACUCACUUUUUUCUUGAGAGACGACUGAUUUCCCCGGAUCUCACUGGGAAGCCCACCUGCAGCAUCCCUUGUUAAAGGUCACCCACCCGUGUGCAAGUGGGGCAGCGUCCCGCUCCCCACUCACCCUGUUGGUCUGUGGUCUGUCCUUGCACUGGCACCACGUGGCCUUGUGGCCCCAGCUUGACAGGAGGUCGUGCUGUCUGGUGGGGAGUGUCCCCUGCCUGCUCUUCAUCUUCUGGUUGAUUUUUGCUGUUCUUGUGCUUUUGCCCGUCAGUGUGAAUUUUAAAACCAGCUCGUCACAUUUCACAGAGAAACCUGCUGGGUGUUGAUGGGAAUCGCACCGGUUCGUAGACCCAUAGGGACGCGGUCUUCACAGG